GCGUUUUUAACACAAAUGACACUUACUAUAUGUAUAAGUAAUUGAUGUUUACAAACAACUUAGAUGGAUAAUUCAACCUUUUCUUCUCAAGAACACUAUGGAGAAACCCUCUCUUGUCUCCAACUCCAUGACAUUAUUACAUGCAGAGUUAAUUUGCUUCUCAGUUCUCUUUGUAUACUAGAUUUAUAUCCUUCUGCACAAUGCCUUGGCAAGGUAAGGUCUUGCUGCAGUUGAAUAUUAUGGUCAUUUUUGUUGCACUUGUGCCUGUGAUGUUCUUGUAGACUAUGUUUCUUAUUUGGACAGCUGAAUUCUGCAAGCCAUAGGAUGGAGAAUAAUUGUGUUGAAGGCAGACAAAUGAAGACUUGUGAUUGAGUUUGAAGUUGAUGAUUAGGGUUUACCUGUUCAUUGCAUGGAGUUUCUUGAUCACAGUAGUUUUGGUCUAUGAUUAUGGGGUUGCUCACAUUUUCCAUCUUAAUGUCUUGAAAUACUAUGUUUUCAGCAUACCCUGAUCCUCCCUACAUCAUAACAAGAAAGAAAGAAAGAAAAAAAAAAAAUUAGUUUUGGGUGUUUAAAAAUAUAAAUAGAAUGAUGGAAUUUUCGAAUUAAUUGCUUUUACAACCGAUAUGAUAAUAUAUGUGAAUUAAUAUAUAUAUGUAUUUUAAUCAAAACCAUGUACAUACAUGAGCAAAAAUUUUUAAAAAAUAUGAGAUUUUAAUGUGGUUCAAUGAUGAAUGCAAUUCUUAUGUCCGUGGAGUGUACCAACACUCAACAAUCCACUUAUCAAAGGAAGAAAAAGGAGUACAAUGGUGAAGUUCCUAGAAAAAAACACCUAAUUACAACGGCACUUUUUGAAGAACUAAAAUCCUAAAACAUAAAAGGUCAGGGUUAAAUGUAAAAUAAAGACAAACUCGUCAUUCAUUAUAUAAAAUCCUACGAAUUGAUUGGGACUGAUUCAUGUUUCACAAUUCAACAAGAACACAAACAUAUAUUUAACAGUAUUAUCUUUUAAAUGAUUUUGUAGAUUAUGAAUAAGUUAUAUGAAUAACUAUUUUUAAAUGGGAAUAUGGUAUAUAAACUUUGGAUUUUAUACAUAUUUACUUACCAUGAGAAAAAACUUUUUUUCUUUUUUUUUUUUUUUUUUUCUCACACACAUUUGUUUAGCCUAUAUGAUUAAGUUAUAUAGGAUACCUAAGAAAUUAAGGAUGGUUGAAAACCAAGUCUUACCUGCCAAGUCUUUAUUCUCACUCCAUUAGUGGUUCCUAUGAGUUUUGCCGUAUUCACCAUCACAUUUGAAACACGAGCUUCUGACUUCCCUUUUCCUAAGCUCCCAAUACUUAUCAAAAUAUGAAGUGGGUAAGGAAAAGGUAGUUGAAUUGAACCAUGCUUAUCAAAAUAUUCUUCAAAAAUAGAACAUUCUAGGGUUUUUCUAGUUUUUUAUUUUUAUUUUCGCAAUCAAACUUUUUCACAAACUAUUCUGGGGUAUGAUAGGAUAUAAUAUUCCAGAAAAAUCUUUUGCUUGCCCUCCUUGGAACUAGUUGAGUAUAGAGUUUGUUCAAGUAGAGAUAUGGAACCUGAUUCCAUGACCUGGUCCACAGGUUACAUCUAUGGCUUCAAUGUUUGUUGAUCCAUUUACAAUGGAAAUGCAGUCAUCACCUUCAAACAAUAAAACAAAAGCAUCUAAGUCUCAUGCAAGAUCAGAACUCCUCUGAAUUUAAUUAUUUUUUCUCUUGGUUUACCUGUUUUGAUUACAGUUUUAAUGAUCUGAACAUUUUCGGACCGUGUCACAUGAAUUCCAUCAGUGUUAGGGCUCUCCUCUGAUGAAGUCACCAUGAUAUUAGAAGCUUGAACAUUCAUAGAUUCCUCAAAGCUAACAUGCAUUUGCUGGGCAUCCUGUACGUUGAGGCCAUACACUUUCAAGUUGUCGCAUUGGACGAAGGAUACCGCCUGUAAACCAAAGGUGUUCGAUAAAAAAUCUGUAUAUCUCCAUCCUCAUACAUAAAACUCCUAUAGAAUAAUACUUUUAUGACUAAGAGAAGUUAUGAUCUUUAUCGAAGUUAUUGAUUUAAAGAGAGCAUUAUGUUUCUACUGUAUAAUACUUAUUCAUCUUAUUAUUUUAUGCUAAGUAAAACUUCACGAGACGAAGAUUGAGGAUCAAUGGACUUACUGUUGGUGCAUUGGUGCAAGGCUGCAUGUAAAAGUACUAGAAGUUAGUCCUUUAUUAACACGAGUAGAAUUCAAUUCAAAGGAUUUUUCAUACUUGAGUAAUGUUGAUUUUGCAUGAGUUUUUCCACCAUAUCUUUCCAUUGCCAUCGAUGGUUCCUUGACCUUCUACUUGGAAGUUUUUUAUGUUGUAGAACAAGAGCCAUCGGCUCCUAUCCUUCGCAUAGUCUGAAGGAUCUUCAGAAGCCUUGAUCGUUCCCAGGAUCUAGUACGUUUAAGCAUGAGAGAUUUUGAGUUUUUGGGUGAUGGAAGUACAAAAUUUGAUCAUACUUGGUGUAAAAUUAACUAGAACUCACCUUCAACUUUACAGAAUCAGAUUUGCAAGGGCCUGAAAAUGUAAUUGGCUUAACAUGAUACUUCUUAUUCUGAGGGACAACAAGCACAGCUGUGUUGGAAGAACAAGUCUCCUCCCAAGCUGUCUUGAAUGCCUAAAACCCCAAGAAAAUGGAUCAUAAUUCAAUCAAACAGUUGAAAAAACUACAUCAAUUACUGUAUCCACUGUUGAUGGUACCUCAGUAUCAUCUGUUACUCCAUCACCUUUAGCUCCAAAAUCAUCGACAUUUACCUCUCCCAGUGAAGUUGCAGGAGUACCCAGCUGAUCAUACCUUGUGGAAUCGACGAUUUCAGCUUCGUACUCCAUCUGCAGGUUCGCGAAACUUGCCUCAAAGUCAACGGCCCGGUCCUUAUCAAUGGUGCCAAAAAAUGGGGGGUAGGCACUUGGGCCAGGUGUUCCAUCAAGAAAAUUAGCAAGAUUGUCAUCCUGGAAACUGCUAAAACAUGAAGGAGAAGAGAUCAAAGUGAAGAAAAGUGAGAGAAAAAGACUUUGUGGAAGCAUUUUGUGAGAAAUCAAAGCUUGGUAUAAUGGUGUAAUGAGAGUGAACAUGCUAUGUCAUUGUGGGCUUAGAGGCUUACAUAUUUAUAGAAAAAGUGAAUGGAAGUUGGACUUGGACAAGCAAUUGGAUGAUUGAGAAUGAUUUUUCAUGAGCAGAGGUACAGAUUGAGGUAUAAGAGAUUGAGACGAAAGGGUUACUUUCUACAAAUACCUAAACGUUGGAUAUUGUAUAUAUAUUCUUAAUUUUAUAAGAUUCAAAACACUGCAUAAUGAAAAACAAUUUAAUUCAUAUUCUAUUUUUUUAAUCAGUAACAAAGGUGAUAUUUAUUUUUUCAAUUGAAAUUUGAAAAAAAUAAAAUAAAAAAUCUAUUCUAAAAUAUUCAAGCCUUAAUAAACCUUAAAAUUUCUUUUCUCAAGCGAAGAUUAAUAAAUAUCCUUGAAUCUACAAUAUAACUUAUAUGAAAAUACCAUUAAUAGGAGAAAUAACCCAUAUUCGAUCAAGUCUUAUAUAUACACUAACAUAAUUGAUAAUAUACUCUACAAUUCACAUCUCUUUGCUACAUCAAUUUUCAAAUACAAUUAUGGAUCAUGAAAUAUCAUUCUUACCAUAUGUAGUGUGGUAUGAAAUGAUAAUUCUCUUUUUUGGUUACUCCUUUUUUAUAUAUAUCCACAUGGGAAAAUUCUUAGACAUAUGCCUAAUUGCAAUGAAGAUGAUCCAUCUUCCAAUUAGCAAAACUGCAAGAAUUUCUUCACGAAAUGACUUAUAGAAAGUAUACUUGAAAAAAAAUAAAAAAAAUACAAAUGAGCAUUGUUCAAAUGUAUAUAGACUUUAACCUAUUAGUAUUGGCAUGCAUGGGUCAAACAACCAUGGACAGAUCUAGAAUAAUGGGUAUUUCCCAUUUUGAUUGUGUAAGUUUUGGGCAAAAGAAAAAGGGUGUUAAGCUAAUUACCAAUUUUAUCUCAUGCAUAUGUCUAUCACUAUCACAUAACUAAUAGAACCAUGCUGAUCACAAUCAACUUGGUAGUCAUCACCAAAUGCCAAAAAUAUGGAUCCCCAACCCACUCAUAUGAGAUUUGGAUGUUUAUUUAGAUAGAUUAACCUUUCUCUAACAUGUUAAAUUUGGAUAGAUUAAACCCAAUUAUGAAUCAAAAUUAGUUUUUCAAAAUAUGUUGAGUUCUUUUAGUAUUUUAAGCUCACCAGCUAAUACUAGUUUUUCCUAUCAUAUUCAAACAAUAAAUAAGUACCUUAAUAGUAGAAAAGAUUAAAUGAAAAUUUCAAAAGAAUUAAAAAAUGGUAAGAAAAAUAGUUAGAAAAUUUUCAAUAAUUUCAAUAAAUUUUAAAGGAAAAAACAUAAUUUUUUGUUUUAAAGAAUUCAAUAAUGAAAAAUGUGACCAAUCAACUUAAUUUUUUAAAUCCUCUAAGGGUGAGGCUUGUAUGACAUGUUUUAUAGGUUGUCAUUUUAAUGAAACUCUUGUCUCAUUAAUCAUACAACAAUGAUGAUAAAUAAUGUUAAUACUAUAUCAGCUAAUGAGAACCUGAUUAGGGGAUCUAGAAGAGCUCACACUAUGUUACUAGUAUCUUUUGAUUCAAUGUAAACGAUAUUUUAUAUUUUGUUAGAUCCAAAAGAAUCUUGUGUGAUCAACUUGAUCAUCUAGGGUAAAUAAUGAUGCAUCAACUCAUUAUAAAGUCAUAUAGACUUGCGUUAUAAAAUAAGAAGUUUUUACUUAGUGAUAGACCUAUCUAUAUACUUGAAAGGUAGUAUGACAUGUUGUACAAAUUAUCAUUUUGAUGAAAUAAUUUUCUGGUUGUUAGGCAGAAGUUGAUUUCUAGAAGAACGACAUAAAAUUCCUUAGGUUUUUUUUUCCUUAUGAUACAAGUGAAUGUGAUUUGAUAUCCUUGAAGGAUAAUUAAUCAACACAAUAAUAAACAGAUGCGCACCUAAAGCAUUGUAAAAUAGUUGAAACAAACAAUAAUAUAUAUCCUAGUAGGAUAAGGAUUUAUUAUAAUGAUAAAUGAAAUCGAGGCAUGCCUAAAGCGUGAUAGACUUAUCAGCUCAAAUGAUGUAAGUCCCUAGAAGAGGAAAACUCGUGAAAAACUUGACACUCUCAUAGAGGCCAUAAAAAUAAAUGAUUAGUCUAAAAUUGAUGAAUGUAGAGUCCCUAGAGAGACACAAAUAACACAGGUAGCUCUUGAAGAUGCAUGCAUAUAUUGAACAAGUAGGCCUUAAAGAGGUGCAAAUGGAAUGAAUAGCCCUUAGAGAGACACAAAUAUCUAAAAAGAUUUCUAUUAGUUAUGUACAUGACAUGAGAAAGAUGAUAUGAACAUAAUGUUUGUAUUCAUCUUGCUUCUAGAUAGUUGUUGAUAUCAUGAGGAAUGAUAAAGAUUUCAAAUCAUGAAUUGUAUAAGAAUCUUGACAUAGAAAUAAUUGGCCAAAAUAGAAAGAUGUAAACAAACAAAAGAUGUUGAUCUUAUUGAAUAUAAAUGGAGCUAAAGUCUAACAUUUGAAGAUGUAAAAAUUAUUGGAUACCAAUGAGAAAUUAUACAAAAGUGUAUUUGAGAUAAUGCAAAAAUUGUAGCAUAAGGUGUAUUUAGAAACCUUAUAUUGACUCUUGUAAUGGCUCAAUCAUAUUCCUAACAAUCAAGAUUGAUCAUCCUUGAAGGAUUUAAGAUGCACUAUAUAAUAUAUAUGGAUCUAUAGAUAUGUUCAAAUCCUUUAAGGAUUCAAACUACAUGAAGCAAUAAAGUCCUUAAAGGAUAAUGUUGAAGCAAAUACAUCCCUAAAGGAUAUAAGAUACUUGAAGCACAUAAUUUGAAACAUUGUGUAUUCAAGAGGCUACAAAAACCCUUGUAUGGAUUAAGAAACCCAAAUGCAUGUGUUACAAUCAUCUUAUUGAAUAUUUGUUGAGGGAAGAAUAUGUGUAUAAUUUUAUUUAUCCAUGCAUGUUCAUUAAGAAAUUAUCAAUUGGAAUUGCAAUUGUUGUAGUAUAUACAAACAAUAUGCAUCUUUCUAAAACUCUUGAAAAGCUCAUAAGAAUAGUUGACUACUUGCAAAGAAAGUUUGAAAUGAAAGAUCUUAACAAAAUUUUUCUUGACCUGUAGAUUGAGUACUUACUAAAUAGAGUGUUUUUUUAUUAAUUAACAUAUAUAGAAAAAAAUCUUAAAGCACUUUUAGAUAGACAAAUGGUAUGCAUUAAGUUCCCCAUCCUUGGUCGUUCACUUGAAGUGAACAAGGAUCUAUUUCAUCCUGAGGAAGAUAAUGAAGAUUUGCUUGGUCCAAAAGUACUAUAUCUCAAUGCAAAUUGGUGUUCUACAGUAACUCAAAGACAUUGGAAUGAAAUCAACAUAUAUUGUGUUAUUUUCUUGGAACCACGAAUAUGAGUUUAUUUUAUGUAAAAAGAGUAUAAUCACAAUUCUUAGAUACACAAAUGUCGAUUACCUUUCGAAUCCUUACAAAGCUAGGUCUCAAAUAGGAUAUAUGUUUACUUGUAGUGAUAUUACAAUAUCAUUAUGAUCAGUAAAGCAGAGCAUGGUAGCUACUUCUUCAAUUCAUUUAAUAAUACUUGCAAUUCAUGAAGCAAGUCAAGAAUGUGAGUGGUUGAGAUCUAUAAUCCAAUCUAUUUGAGAAUCAUGAAAACUAGCUAUCUUCUAUUAAAUAUAAUUUGAUAAUGCUAUAUGAAGAUAAUGUUGCAUCAUGUAUUGAAGAAAUUAAAGAAUGAUAUAUAUUAAGGGUGAUAUAACUAAGCAUAUGUUGCUCAAGUUCUUUUACACCAUGAGCUCCAAAGGAGGGGUGAAAUUAAUGUAAUACUCAAGAAACUCAUAUAUAAUAUUAUGAUGCAACCAACUCAAAGAUCUUCAUGCUGAGCAACUAAAGAAGUUAUAAUCAUGUCAACAUGAUUAUACUUUUGGGAUACACUGACUGGAAAAAGUAUAUUCAUUGACUGGAAAAAGUAUAAUCAUGCAACAGUCAAGAAACUCAUAUAUAAUAUUGGGAUGCGUCGACUCAAUGAUCUUCAUACUGACCUACUAGAGAAAGUAUAAUCACAUUAAGAUGAGAGAGAGUAGAUUGAUAAGGAUAUCACUAUACUAUACUCUUUUUCCCUUUAUUUAGGUUUUAUCUCAUUGAGUUUUACUAGCAAGGAUUUUAAUAUGGUAGUUGUAGUAGUCCAAAAGCAUAUUAUACUUUUAUUCCUUCACUAGUUGUUUACUUAUAGGGUUUUUUUUUUCCUAGUAAAAUUUUAAUAAGACAUACUCAAAGAAUGGUUGUCAUUUAAGGGAGAAUAUUAUAAAUAUUUAUGGUAGUUUGUGGGUAUCAUGUUUGUACUAUUACUAUAUUGGUAUUACCCUUGGCCUAUAAAUAAGAGUUAUGAGUUAGUAAAGAGAGACCGAAUAACUAAGUUAUUUUCUUUUCGUUUUCUCCUUUAAUCUUUAUGUUUAUUUCAUAACAAAUAAGAUUUUAUUUAUUUUUUAAUUUUACUUAAACCUUAAUACAUUAUUAAUACUUAAUGGUAAGCGCUACUUUUUGGGUAAUAAUAUUUAAUUACCAUUAAUUUUAACUUAAAAUUUUUUUAAAUCUUUUCCCUAUUUUAUCAUCCUAAAUAUUUUUUCUACAAGUGUACUCUUCACAAUUUAACUAUCCGACAAGGAAGUUCAAAAUCAUUAAAAAAGAAAAACAAGUCAUACAUCCAAAGAAAAUGAGAAUAUUUGACAAAGAUUCUAUAUUUAUAUCAAUGUUAUACUCUAUUAUAUUAAGUGAAUUAAGUUGGAGAAUCUGGGUAUCACAAUUCUUUAGAUUGAAGACAUGGAUAUGCAUAAAUACUAUUUAUUUAUAGACGAUAUAAAAUAUAAAGACACUUAUAAGUAUGAAAUACGUAGUUUUAUAUGUUAAAAAGCUAAGUUUGUGUCAAGGGAAACAUCAUUUUCUUGCUUUAACAUAGUGUAACACACUUCGGAUGGAAUUUUUAUAUAAAGGUUUUUUUUUUUUUUUUGGGUUCAAUUUUUAACUCAAAUUGAUAAGAUGGCUUGCAGCCUAGACCUAGCCAACCCCCUUCACCAUACAAUACAUGCUGCUUCUUAUUAUAACAACAAUAUGUGCUAGGGUUUUACACAUUAUUCAACUUCAAUAUUAGUAACAACAAACCCCAGCUAGCUAUAAUCUUCAUUGUAGGAAACCAUCACCACCCCAAGUUAACCCCAUUUACAGUAUUAAUCCACAUGUUUCACCAUUUUCGUUGACACAUGAACACUAUGGAGAAACCCUACCCCUAGUCUCCAACUCCAUGACAUUAAUACAUGCAGAGUUAAUCAGCUUCUCAGCUCGCUUUUUAUACUAGAUUUAUAUCCUUCAGCAUAAUGCCUUGGCAAGGUAAGGUCUUGCUGCACUUGAAUAUUGUGGUCAUUUUUGUUGCACU
rnacentral:lncRNA from 1 species